UCAGGACGAACGCUGGCAGCGUGCUUAACACAUGCAAGUCGAGCGGAAAGGCUCCUUCGGGGGUACUCGAGCGGCGAACGGGUGAGUAACACGUGAGUAAUCUGCCCUUGGCUUCGGGAUAGCCACCGGAAACGGUGAUUAAUACCGGAUACGACACAUCACUGCAUGGUGCGUGUGUGGAAAGUUUUUUCGGCCAGGGAUGUGCUCGCGGCCUAUCAGCUUGUUGGUGGGGUAAUGGCCUACCAAGGCUUCGACGGGUAGCCGGCCUGAGAGGGUGACCGGCCACACUGGGACUGAGACACGGCCCAGACUCCUACGGGAGGCAGCAGUGGGGAAUAUUGGACAAUGGGCGGAAGCCUGAUCCAGCAACGCCGCGUGAGGGAUGACGGCCUUCGGGUUGUAAACCUCUUUCAGCACAGACGAAGCGCAAGUGACGGUAUGUGCAGAAGAAGGACCGGCCAACUACGUGCCAGCAGCCGCGGUAAUACGUAGGGUCCGAGCGUUGUCCGGAAUUAUUGGGCGUAAAGGGCUCGUAGGCGGUUUGUCGCGUCGGGAGUGAAAACACCGGGCUUAACUCGGUGCUUGCUUCCGAUACGGGCAGACUAGAGGCAUUCAGGGGAGAACGGAUUCCUGGUGUAGCGGUGAAAUGCGCAGAUAUCAGGAGGACACCGGUGGCGAAGG
rnacentral:rRNA from 1 species